rnacentral:tRNA from 1 species
GGUGUUGUAGCUCAAUGGUGGAGCACUUGCCUAGCAUGCACGAGGCACGGGGUUCGAUCCUCAGCACCA